rnacentral:rRNA from 1 species
GUGGACGCCAGUCUGCAUGGAGCCGACCUUGAAAUACCACCCUUUAAUGUUUGAUGUUCUAACGUGGACCCGUUACCCGGGUUGCGGACAGUGUCUGGUGGGUAGUUUGACUGGGGCGGUCUCCUCCUAAAGAGUAACGGAGGAGCACGAAGGUUGGCUAAUCCUGGUCGGACAUCAGGAGGUUAGUGCAAUGGCAUAAGCCAGCUUGACUGCGAGCGUGACGGCGCGAGCAGGUGCGAAAGCAGGUCAUAGUGAUCCGGUGGUUCUGAAUGGAAGGGCCAUCGCUCAACGGAUAAAAGGUACUCCGGGGAUAACAGGCUGAUACCGCCCAAGAGUUCAUAUCGACGGCGGUGUUUGGCACCUCGAUGUCGGCUCAUCACAUCCUGGGGCUGAAGUAGGUCCCAAGGGUAUGGCUGUUCGCCAUUUAAAGUGGUACGCGAGCUGGGUUUAGAACGUCGUGAGACAGUUCGGUCCCUAUCUGCCGUGGGCGCUGGAGAACUGAGGGGGGCUGCUCCUAGUACGAGAGGACCGGAGUGGACGCAUCACUGGUGUUCGGGUUGUCAUGCCAAUGGCACUGCCCGGUAGCUAAAUGCGGAAGAGAUAAGUGCUGAAAGCAUCUAAGCACGAAACUUGCCCCGAGAUGAGUUCUCCCUGAGACUUAAAGUCUCCUGAAGGAACGUUGAAGACGACGACGUUGAUAGGCCGGGUGUGUAAGCGCAGCGAUGCGUUGAGCUAACCGGUACUAAUGAACCGUGAGGCUUAACCUUACAACGCCGAAG